CAUAUACUAAAAAAAAAAAAAAAAAAUUGGAACGACACAGAGGAGAUUAGCAUGGCCCCUGCACAAGGAUGACAUGCAAAUUCGUGAAGCAUUCCAUGUUAAA